rnacentral:lncRNA from 1 species
UCUUGGCAAUAUUGCCCAGCUUGGGCUGGAUGGGUUUUGCUGAGGACUUGGGGAUGUCACCCUCUUUGGGCUGGAUGGCUUCUUCUGAGGACUUGGGGAGGUCCUCCUUCUUGGAUUGGAUGGUUUCUUCUGGGGCCUUGGGGAUGUCCUCCUUCUUGGAUUGGAUGGUUUCUUCUGGGGCCUUGGGGAUGUCACCCUCCUUGGGCUGGAUGGUUUCUUCUGAGGACUUGGGGCUGUCAUCCUGC